rnacentral:rRNA from 1 species
UACCAGCACCCCGAGUGGUCGGGACGUUUAUUGGGCCUAAAGCAUCCGUAGCCGGUUCUACAAGUCUUCCGUUAAAUCCACCUGCUCAACAGAUGGGCUGCGGAAGAUACUAUGGAGCUAGGAGGCGGGAGAGGCAAGCGGUACUCGAUGGGUAGGGGUAAAAUCCGUUGAUCCAUUGAAGACCACCAGUGGCGAAGGUGGCUUGCCAGAACGCGCUCGACGGUGAGGGAUGAAAGCUGGGGGAGCAAACCGG